UACCAGCUCUUCGAGUGGUGUGGAUGUUUAUUGGGCCUAAAGCAUCCGUAGCUGGCUGGGCAAGUCCCCUGUUAAAUCCACCGAUUUAAUCGUUGGAGUGCGGGGGAUACUGUUCGGCUAGGGGACGGGAGAGGCAGACGGUAUUUUCGGGGUAGGGGUGAAAUCCUAUAAUCCCGGGAAGACCACCAGUGGCGAAGGCUGUCUGCUAGAACGCGCCCGACGGUGAGGGAUGAAAGCUGGGGGAGCGAACCGGAUUAGAUACCCGGGUAGUCCCAGCUGUAAACGAUGCAGGCUAGGUGUUUGGGCGGCCACGUGCCGCUCUAGUGCCGCAGGGAAGCCGUUAAGCCUGCCGCCUGGGGAGUACGGCCGCAAGGCUGAAACUUAAAGGAAUUGGCGGGGGAGCGACCACAAGGGGUGAAGCUUGCGGUUU
rnacentral:rRNA from 1 species